AGCGAACGCUGGCGGCAGGCCUAACACAUGCAAGUCGAACGAAGUCUUCGGACUUAGUGGCGGACGGGUGAGUACCACGUGGGAACGUGCCUUUAGGUUCGGAAUAACUCAGGGAAACUUGUGCUAAUACCGAAUGUGCCCUUCGGGGGAAAGAUUUAUCGCCUUUAGAGCGGCCCGCGUCUGAUUAGCUAGUUGGUGAGGUAAAGGCUCACCAAGGCGACGACCAGUAGCUGGUCUGAGAGGAUGAUCAGCCACAUUGGGACUGAGACACGGCCCAAACUCCUACGGGAGGCAGCAGUGGGGAAUUUUGCGCAAUGGGCGAAAGCCUGACGCAGCCAUGCCGGGUGAAUGAUGAAGGUCUUAGGAUUGUAAAAUUCUUUCACCGGGGACGAUAAUGACGGUACCCGGAGAAGAAGCCCCGGCUAACUUCGUGCCAGCCGCCGCCGUAA
rnacentral:rRNA from 1 species